AGUCUGACGGAGCAACGCCGCGUGAGUGAUGAAGGUUUUCGGAUCGUAAAACUCUGUUGUUAGGGAAGAACAAGUUGGGUAGUAACUGACCCAACCUUGACGGUACCUAACCAGAAAGCCACGGCUAACUACGUGCCAGCAGCCGCGGUAAUACGUAGGUGGCAAGCGUUGUCCGGAAUUAUUGGGCGUAAAGCGCUCGCAGGCGGUCCUUUAAGUCUGAUGUGAAAUCUCGCGGCUCAACCGCGAACGGUCAUUGGAAACUGGAGGACUUGAGUACAGAAGAGGAGAGUGGAAUUCCACGUGUAGCGGUGAAAUGCGUAGAGAUGUGGAGGAACACCAGUGGCGAAGGCGACUCUCUGGUCUGUAACUGACGCUGAGGAGCGAAAGCGUGGGGAGCGAACAGGAUUAGAUACCCUGGUAGUCCACGCCGUAAACGAUGAGUGCUAGGUGUUAGGGGGUUUCCGCCCCUUAGUGCUGAAGUUAACGCAUUAAGCACUCCGCCUGG
rnacentral:rRNA from 1 species